rnacentral:ncRNA from 1 species
AAAAGUAGAGGUUGCGUGAUUGAUGAGUAAGCUGUUGGAUAUGUUCUGGCAUAGAGGAAGGCAGUGGAAAGGUGAGAACGCCGAAGGAAUGGAUGCCAGAAUAUCAAUUCCUGGGAAUAUGGUGAAUAACCAUAUGACUGUCAUCUGAUUCAAGUCAGAUGGGGAGCUACUUA